rnacentral:rRNA from 1 species
GCAGUAGCCGCGGGAAUACAGAGGGUGCGAGCGUUAAUCGGAUUUACUGGGCGUAAAGCGUGCGUAGGCGGCUUUUUAAGUCGGAUGUGAAAUCCCUGAGCUUAACUUAGGAAUUGCAUUCGAUACUGGGAAGCUAGAGUAUGGGAGAGGAUGGUAGAAUUCCAGGUGUAGCGGUGAAAUGCGUAGAGAUCUGGAGGAAUACCGAUGGCGAAGGCAGCCAUCUGGCCUAAUACUGACGCUGAGGUACGAAAGCAUGGGGAGCAAACAGGAUUAGAUACCCCUGUAGUCCCUGUCUCUUAUAC